rnacentral:rRNA from 1 species
CCUACGGGAGGCAGCAGUGGGGAAUAUUGGACAAUGGGCGAAAGCCUGAUCCAGCAAUGCCGCGUGAGUGAUGAAGGCCUUAGGGUUGUAAAGCUCUUUUACCAGGGAUGAUAAUGACAGUACCUGGAGAAUAAGCUCCGGCUAACUCCGUGCCAGCAGCCGCGGUAAUACGGAGGGAGCUAGCGUUGUUCGGAAUUACUGGGCGUAAAGCGUGCGUAGGCGGUGACUCAAGUCAGAGGUGAAAGCCUGGAGCUCAACUCCAGAACUGCCUUUGAAACUAGGUCGCUAGAAUCAUGGAGAGGUGAGUGGAAUUCCGAGUGUAGAGGUGAAAUUCGUAGAUAUUCGGAAGAACACCAGUGGCGAAGGCGGCUCACUGGACAUGUAUUGACGCUGAGGCACGAAAGCGUGGGGAGCAAACAGGAUUAGAUACCCUGGUAGUCCACGCCGUAAACGAUGAUAACUAGCUGCCGACGGCGUCAUGGAGUCGUUUGGUUGGUCGGCGAGCGUACGACGAUUAAGUUAGUACCGCCGUCGGGUAGGUAACGGUCGUCGAGAAGUUAAACGUUAAAGUUAGUAAGUUAGACGGCGUGAGACGNGCGACGGACGACGACGAGGGAGGAGG